rnacentral:rRNA from 1 species
UAUGCCCCGAAUAUCCCGGGCUACACGCGAGCUACAAUGGUUGGUACCAAUGGGGUAUCUACCCCGAAAGGGGACGGGAAUCUCCUAAACCAAUCUUAGUUCGGAUUGAGGGCUGCAACUCGCCCUCCAUGAAGCUGGAAUCCGUAGUAAUCGCGUUUCAACAGAACGCGGUGAAUACGUCCCUGCUCCUU